UACAGAGGUCCCGAGCGUUGUUCGGAUUCAUUGGGCGUAAAGGGUGCGUAGGCGGCGGGGCAAGUCUGAUGCGAAAUCCCGGGGCUCAACCCCGGAACUGCAUUGGAUACUGCCUUGCUAGAGUACUGGAGAGGGAACUGGAAUUUACGGUGUAGCAGUGAAAUGCGUAGAGAUCGUAAGGAAGGCCAGUGGCGAAGGCGAGUUCCUGGACAGUGACUGACGCUGAGGCACGAAGGCCAGGGGAGCAAACGGG
rnacentral:rRNA from 1 species